rnacentral:rRNA from 1 species
CCGUAGUUCGGAUUGAGGGUUGUAACUCACCCUCAUGAAGCUGGAUUCCGUAGUAAUCGCGAAUCAACAACUCGCGGUGAAUAUGCCCCUGCUCCUUGCACACACCGCCCGUCAAACCACCUGAGUUGGGUUUCAGUGAGGCUGCCUCUUUCUGGGGUUGUCGAACUGAGAUUUAGCAAGGAGGGUUAAGUCGUAACAAGGUAUCUGUAGGGGAACCUGCAGAUGGAUCACCUCCU